AUGGUCUAUACUCACCACGUUCAUGGAACACAAGUGAACGACUGACUGAAUCAUAUGUUCGAUUUCCGAUCUCAUCUGAUCCAUCACUCAACACUCAUACGGCACUGCUUUACGAGCAUCCUUUCGCGUAUUUUAUUUCGAUUUAAAAUUUUUUUCAUUGCAAUUUUUGUAUUUUGGUAAAAUAGCUGUUUUCAGUGUUGGGGGGCGUUGUGUCCGCUCACCUCGGCUUCGCCUCGGUUGCGCGGGUCGCUUUGUUGUUCAUACUAUGUCUGUUAACUUCCCUCGGCCUUCGGCCUCGGUGAGCAGUGCUGUGAGAACGAACGAAAACGGGAACGGGAACGCAUAAAGAACGCAACUUUUCAAAUUUCCUUCAAAGAACGAACGGAUAAUCACACAAAUCCUCUUGAAGAACGUUCUUACUGAGAAUGAGAACAUUAAAUUUGUGAGAACGAGAACGGGAACGGGAACGGAGUGCUAAUUUGCCAUUCUUAGAUGUUCUUUCAGGGUUCUCAAAUUACCUCCCAAAACUCUGAAAAAUAGGAAAAAAUAUGCUUUUUCCACAAACUUUUAGUAGUUUUUGGGUACAAUAGAAGAAAAUGAAAAAAUUUCCAUCAAAAAUGGCUUCGCUUGUACCACAGAACCCUAUUGGGAACGGGAACGGGAACACAGGAACGUAAAUUUUGGAAAUUUGAUUGAGAACGAGAACGGGAACGGGAACGGGAACGCUUCUGCUUAUGAAGCAUAAGAACUAGGAACAGGAUAACAGGAACGAGGUCUUAGAUUUUUGGGAGUGAUAAGGAACAAAGAACGGCGUUCUUUAUUGUGAGAACAAAGAACGGGAACGGGAACGAGCACUUCCGCGUUCUCACAGCACUGUCGGUGAGUACAGUUUUUUUAUAAACAACCGCAAGUGCUACAUACACGGUAAAUGUCCAGCCUCCGUCUGAACUCACCAAGGGGAGUAAUGCUCAUCGAGUGAAAUAUAAAUUUUAAACGGCUCGGCUUCGCCUCGCCUAAUGCGCGCACUAUCCAAAAAAACAGUAUUCGUGACGAAAAAGAAGGAAAAAAUAAAAUAAAUUCACAUGAUCGUUCAAUAAUCAAUUUGAAAAAAAUUUGAAUCGAAAAAAAAUUUAAAAAAAUUUUCAGGAUCUGGCGGGGAUUGAUCUCUAGACCUUCCGCACUGUAAUCCAUAUCUUUCACCACUCAGCCAUCGACACUGCUUAUCGAAUAGCGUUUUCGUUCGGUAUACAAGCUGGCAAACAGCGACGAAAACUACCCCCCCACGCGCGCGUAUACAUGUACGCGUACGCGCUCGCAACUAGCAAAAAAGAACGAAUCUGCACUGAUACUUCAUUGUUAUGUUCCAUGAACGUGGUGAGUAUAGACCAUCUCAGUUCUCGACGAUGAAGGACAACAACAACGUCCUCUUGGGAAAUGCUAUAUUCGUACGUGUUUACAGCAUUUGGCAACUUUGGUAGGUAAAAAACUACCUACUCGAUUAUUUUUUAAAUUACGAAAAAAGCAACGAAAACAGAUCAAAAUGGAAAGUUUUAAGCAUAUUUCAACUUAUUACUACUUUAAUUAUGCUUUUAUUUUAAUUUAUUUCCUUUCAACGGUUUCAACUGUGAAAAAAUUGCAAUAUAAAAAUGUGUGUCUGAAAGUAGGAGCUCUCAAAAUGUGUUUGAUUUUUUCAAAAAAUUGUGCGCACUCAACUCAACCCUUUCGUUGCAAGCAUUUCAAUUUCACUCUUCUCUUCUCCCAGCUACUCUUUGAUCGAAUGAACCGCCAAAAUUUUUGAAAAAAUUGACCAAAUUUGAACACGAAUGAAUCUUCUGCCAUUUAUGCUAAAUGCUAAAAUGAUACAGAAUGAUCUCAAACAUCAAUACAGAAUAUUCUUACAUCGAAGAGGAAGAAGUAGAAUUACCUGAAACUGGAUUUGAGUCAGAGAAUGGGACAGAGAAAGGAAAUAUUCAGAUGGAACUAUGGAAGUAGAACGUAGGUACCCAAUAACCUGAUAUUCCAACUGAUGAGAAAACAGAACUAAAUGAUCACAAAGUAAAUCAUACUAAAAGCAAAACCAAACUACCUCUACAAUCUUUCACAUCAUCAUCUUUAUAUGUACGAUGGAAAUGCUCUGUUCGAUGGGACCUUCGCUUUGGUUAGCGAAUAUUAUUUAGAAUAUGGUUUGAAACAAAUAGCUACAAGAAAAUUUAAAAAGAAAAUAAUGCAAAUUAUGCGAAGUUACAGCGUUUAUUGUUAGCAGUGGAUGUAGCUAGCACGUUUAAUUUUAAUUUUCUUCGUCAUAUUGAGGCGUAAACACGAAGAAAAAAUAUAUGAGUCGUAUUCGUAUCUAUCUAUCAUUAUGAACAAGGAACUGAAGAAGUCGACGAGAAUCCUAAAAGCUAAAACUCAAAUCAAGAUCAAGAAUAGAAUCGUGUUUCUACUGCGAAAGAUGUUACUGAUGUGUUUUCUGACAAAAGAUUGUGUAUCUGAGAGAAUACUGGACGAUUUGCGUGAUUUCAUUCUAAAUGCUUCGUGGGAUCAUAAACAAAAAGUAUGCUGAAUUUAUUGUACUCCCUAGACUCAUUAUUAAUAUCUAUAAUAAUUUAAUUUAAUACUCAUUUUUUGUGUUAGGUAUUCCUUAUAGAAGAACGUUUUUAUUACACGGAUCUUCUGCCUGUUGUAAAUCAUAAUUUGUGUUUGCUUAGGCUAGUGAGAAUUGAACUAUGUUCUCUGUAUCUUACACACCUGAUAUGAUGACAAAUUAACCCAUAAUAAGUUGAAUCCUUUGUUGAAUACAACGCUGUAAAAUUGAAUUUUUCUGUUAAAAGAUAUCGAUGCUGCUUUUUCUAAAUUAGGUAACUAUAUUUAUGUUUUUGUCUGGCGAUACAUAUUUAAUUCCUAACGAUUUUUGUGUAGAGUUGAGAAAACACAAUACAUCUAGUGAACUCACAUUGAGCAGCAUUUUUAACUGUUUGGAUGGUGUUACUGCUCCUGAAGGAAGAAUUUUAUUCGAGACUUGCAUCGAUAGAAAAAAAGUAAAGUAUUCUUGAAUUUUGGACUGGUUGACUGUAAAGAUGUUCGAACGCUCUACAGAACGCUACAGAAUUUACAAAAAACGUAAAAAAAAAUUAGGGUUUUUGAGCGCUCAUGACAGUCUCAAAAUGGACUACAGACUGCUGUAAUGCAAUUUUACAGAAAACCGUAUAAGAAAUUUGCGUUUCCUGUAAUUUCUGGAGAUUUCUGUAACUUGCUGGAGAGCGCUCGAACAUCCCUUGGGACUCCUCGAAUUAAUUUUAAAAUUUGAAUUAAAAAUAGUGUGUACCUAGACCUACAUGUCUUAUUUUUAGGUUAGAUCCUCUGUUAAAUGUUAUUGAGACCAGGUAUCUAUAUGUCAAAGAAUACCUAUCUUGGAUUUUGCUUUCAAAAUCACAUAGUACGAUUAUUCAAAAGGUUUUACAAAAGUCUUGCAUCAACGGCGUUGGAAUUUACCCAAGAAAUUAUUAAAAGUGGCAAAAAUACUAUAUCCUUACUUUUCAAGCAAUUUGAAUUUUGCAUUUGCACUCUAUUUAAAGGGUAACCUAGGUGUGGUAAUUGUUUAUGAUGUAAUUAAUAUUACCGAUUUAUGUUGCGAGGGUUUUUUCACGGUUUUGUUGACUAGGAUUUCUCUUUUUGUUCUUUUUACUUUCUUUUUUAUUUGUGCAAAACCAGUAUUGUCAAUUGUGAUAUUUCUAGAUUAUUUUUUGAUGAGCCUCGAUUUACAUUGUGUUUUUUUAAAUACCUACUCAUUUUAAAAAUAUGUAGUGCAUUUAAGGCCCAUGAGAGGGUUUUUGAUUGGGAUAGUAUCGAGAGUAUCUAAUAAGUACUUUUGUGUGUAGAUGGUCGUUUUUACUUUGUUAUGACGAUGUAAGAAUAUGUGUUUUUUAAUGUUGCCCGUGGUUUUUCACAUUUAGAUUAUAGAUUAUAUUAAUCUUUCUUACCUACAACUUUUUUCUCAUUAAAAAAAAAUAGAAUAUUGACUGUUGAGUAUUGAUGUUGACCAUUGUAGGUGUUUUGUUGUUCUUAUUUGUUUGUAGAAUACCAACUAUUUUUUUGCUCAUUGUGUUCUAUGACAUUUUUUUAUCGUGCUUUAUUAAUAAACUAGUUUAUCAUUA